rnacentral:lncRNA from 1 species
CAGAAACCGCGAGCCGUUUCCUUUCUCUUCGGAAAUGGCAGUUUUGUUGUCCUGGAUGAAGGCGAGCGCCGCUGCCUCCCUGAAUGCUGAGCACGCUGGCUUCGCGGUGCCCGGAAGGAAGCCUUUGAAGACCCUGACUCCAGUGUCUCCAGCUGAGAGGCUGAGCUUGCCAGCUCCAUUUCUGACUGCUCAUGGAGCAGAAUCAGUGACCAAGGAGAAAAGGGCUGAGUGAAGAAACAAGUGUGAGUGCCAAGAUGAUGCCAAGGGCUGUGAUUUCCUGGUGGGAAGAAAGAAGGAAUAGAAGCCAAAGGAAGGGGGAUGAAAAGCAAAACCAAGAAUCACAAGGAAUCAAGUUCGGAGAGAAUUUUGGCAGAGAUUUUGAGAGGGGGGCUUUAAGUCAGCCAUGGACAUACUGAAGCAAGAGGAAUGAAGGGAAAAAAGAAAAGGGGGGAAAAAAAGAAGAAGAAUGGGGCCAAGGAGGAUUUAAGACUACCAUUAUAGGUUACAAGUUGAAUUCUUUUUAAUAUUCUUCAAGCAAUGACAGUAAAGAUUCAAAUAACUUUUAAAUUACCUUUGAUUUCUAAACCAAGUUUCUUGGAAUGUGAAAGUCGCCAAGACUGGGCCCUGCAGGGCCUGGGUUGGGCUACUACUGCCUAUGGAGAUUCUGAGGGUAUUAACCUUAAUAAUGGCAUGAAAUCAAUAAAAAUCAUCCAAAAGCUUUUAAAAAAAAAAAAAAAAAAAAAAAAAAAAAAAAAAAAA